GACGAACGCUGGCGGCGUGCCUAAUACAUGCAAGUCGAGCGAGCUUGCCUAGAUGAAUUUGGUGCUUGCACCAGAUGAAACUAGAUACAAGCGAGCGGCGGACGGGUGAGUAACACGUGGGUAACCUGCCCAAGAGACUGGGAUAACACCUGGAAACAGAUGCUAAUACCGGAUAACAACACUAGACGCAUGUCUAGAGUUUAAAAGAUGGUUCUGCUAUCACUCUUGGAUGGACCUGCGGUGCAUUAGCUAGUUGGUAAGGUAACGGCUUACCAAGGCAAUGAUGCAUAGCCGAGUUGAGAGACUGAUCGGCCACAUUGGGACUGAGACACGGCCCAAACUCCUACGGGAGGCAGCAGUAGGGAAUCUUCCACAAUGGACGCAAGUCUGAUGGAGCAACGCCGCGUGAGUGAAGAAGGGUUUCGGCUCGUAAAGCUCUGUUGGUAGUGAAGAAAGAUAGAGGUAGUAACUGGCCUUUAUU
rnacentral:rRNA from 1 species